AAAUUGAAGAGUUUGAUCAUGGCUCAGAUUGAACGCUGGCGGCAGGCCUAACACAUGCAAGUCGAACGGUAACAGGAANGCUGACGAGUGGCGGACGGGUGAGUAAUGUCUGGGAAACUGCCUGAUGGAGGGGGAUAACUACUGGAAACGGUAGCUAAUACCGCAUAACGUCGCAAGACCAAAGAGGGGGACCUUCGGGCCUCUUGCCAUCGGAUGUGCCCAGAUGGGAUUAGCUUGUUGGUGGGGUAACGGCUCACCAAGGCGACGAUCCCUAGCUGGUCUGAGAGGAUGACCAGCCACACUGGAACUGAGACACGGUCCAGACUCCUACGGGAGGCAGCAGUGGGGAAUAUUGCACAAUGGGCGCAAGCCUGAUGCAGCCAUGCCGCGUGUAUGAAGAAGGCCUUCGGGUUGUAAAGUACUUUCAGCGGGGAGGAAGGGAGUAAAGUUAAUACCUUUGCUCAUUGACGUUACCCGCAGAAGAAGCACCGGCUAACUCCGUGCCAGCAGCCGCGGUAAUACGGAGGGUGCAAGCGUUAAUCGGAAUUACUGGGCGUAAAGCGCACGCAGGCGGUUUGUUAAGUCAGAUGUGAAAUCCCCGGGCUCAACCUGGGAACUGCAUCUGAUACUGGCAAGCUUGAGUCUCGUAGAGGGGGGUAGAAUUCCAGGUGUAGCGGUGAAAUGCGUAGAGAUCUGGAGGAAUACCGGUGGCGAAGGCGGCCCCCUGGACGAAGACUGACGCUCAGGUGCGAAAGCGUGGGGAGCAAACAGGAUUAGAUACCCUGGUAGUCCACGCCGUAAACGAUGUCGACUUGGAGGUUGUGCCCUUGAGGCGUGGCUUCCGGAGCUAACGCGUUAAGUCGACCGCCUGGGGAGUACGGCCGCAAGGUUAAAACUCAAAUGAAUUGACGGGGGCCCGCACAAGCGGUGGAGCAUGUGGUUUAAUUCGAUGCAACGCGAAGAACCUUACCUGGUCUUGACAUCCACGGAAGUUUUCAGAGAUGAGAAUGUGCCUUCGGGAACCGUGAGACAGGUGCUGCAUGGCUGUCGUCAGCUCGUGUUGUGAAAUGUUGGGUUAAGUCCCGCAACGAGCGCAACCCUUAUCCUUUGUUGCCAGCGGUCCGGCCGGGAACUCAAAGGAGACUGCCAGUGAUAAACUGGAGGAAGGUGGGGAUGACGUCAAGUCAUCAUGGCCCUUACGACCAGGGCUACACACGUGCUACAAUGGCGCAUACAAAGAGAAGCGACCUCGCGAGAGCAAGCGGACCUCAUAAAGUGCGUCGUAGUCCGGAUUGGAGUCUGCAACUCGACUCCAUGAAGUCGGAAUCGCUAGUAAUCGUGGAUCAGAAUGCCACGGUGAAUACGUUCCCGGGCCUUGUACACACCGCCCGUCACACCAUGGGAGUGGGUUGCAAAAGAAGUAGGUAGCUUAACCUUCGGGAGGGCGCUUACCACUUUGUGAUUCAUGACUGGGGUGAAGUCGUAACAAGGUAACCGUAGGGGAACCUGCGGUUGGAUCACCUCCUUA
rnacentral:rRNA from 1 species